UACGAAGGAUGCAAGCGUUAUCCGGAUUCAUUGGGUUUAAAGGGUGCGUAGGUGGCCUUAUAAGUCAGUGGUGAAAUCUCUGGGCUUAACCCAGAAAUUGCCAUUGAUACUGUAGGGCUUGAGUAUAGUUGCCGUUGGCGGAAUAUGACAUGUAGUGGUGAAAUACAUAGAGAUGUCAUAGAACACCGAUUGCGAAGGCAGCUGACGAAACUAUAACUGACACUGAGGCUCGAAAGUGCGGGGAUCAAACAGG
rnacentral:rRNA from 1 species